GACGAACGCUGGCGGCGUGCUUAACACAUGCAAGUCGAACGGAAAGGCCCUGCUUUUGUGGGGUGCUCGAGUGGCGAACGGGUGAGUAACACGUGAGUAACCUGCCCUUGACUUUGGGAUAACUUCAGGAAACUGGGGCUAAUACCGGAUAGGAGCUCCUGCUGCAUGGUGGGGGUUGGAAAGUUUCGGCGGUUGGGGAUGGACUCGCGGCUUAUCAGCUUGUUGGUGGGGUAGUGGCUUACCAAGGCUUUGACGGGUAGCCGGCCUGAGAGGGUGACCGGCCACAUGGGGACUGAGAUACGGCCCAGACUCCUACGGGAGGCAGCAGUGGGGAAUAUUGCACAAUGGGCGGAAGCCUGAUGCAGCAACGCCGCGUGCGGGAUGACGGCCUUCGGGUUGUAAACCGCUUUCGCCUGUGACGAAGCGUGAGUGACGGUAAUGGGUAAAGAAGCACCGGCGAACUACGU
rnacentral:rRNA from 1 species